UCAGGAUGAACGCUAGCGACAGGCCUAACACAUGCAAGUCAGGGGCAGCACAAGGAGCAAUCUGAGUGGCGACCGGCGCACGGGUGAGUAACACGUAUGCAACCUGCCUGUAAGCGGGGAAUAACCCGUUGAAAGACGGACUAAUACCGCAUAAUACUAAAUUACUGCAUGGUAAUUUAUUUAAACAUUUAUGGCUUACAGAUGGGCAUGCGCAUGAUUAGCUAGUUGGAGAGGUAACGGCUCCCCAAGGCAACGAUCAUUAGGGGUUCUGAGAGGAAGGUCCCCCCACACUGGUACUGAGACACGGACCAGACUCCUACGGGAGGCAGCAGUGAGGAAUAUUGGUCAAUGGACGAGAGUCUGAACCAGCCAAGUCGCGUGCAGGAAGAAUUGUCCUAUGGAUUGUAAACUGCUUUUGCAGGGGAAUAAAGUGCAUCACGUGUGAUGUUUUGUAUGUACUCUGCGAAUAAGGAUCGGCUAACUCCGUGCCAGCCGCCGC
rnacentral:rRNA from 1 species